AUGACUUUGCUCUCAAGGAUUGUUUUCUACAGUUUUGUACUUCAGAAAUGUGAUUCUCAAGUGUUAGGUUUCCUUACCCAUGGUGACAAUUCUGGAUAUUACUUUCUGAGUGUGAAAUGCAUAGAGUAAAGAACCAGUUAACAAGCUCUGUCAUUGAUGAUUGAUCUUUACUUCCUUAUGGAGCAUUAAGUAAAGUGAUAUGAUCGGAGUGGA